UGGGGAAUUUUGGACAAUGGGCGCAAGCCUGAUCCAGCCAUGCCGCGUGCGGGAAGAGGGCCUUCGGGUUGUAAACCGCUUUUGUCAGGGAAGAAAUCUUCUGAGUUAAUACCUCGGGAGGAUGACGGUACCUGAAGAAUAAGCACCGGCUAACUACGUGCCAGCAGCCGCGGUAAUACGUAGGGUGCAAGCGUUAAUCGGAAUUACUGGGCGUAAAGCGUGCGCAGGCGGUUUUGUAAGACAGAGGUGAAAUCCCCGGGCUCAACCUGGGAACUGCCUUUGUGACUGCAAGGCUUGAGUGCGGCAGAGGGGGAUGGAAUUCCGCGUGUAGCAGUGAAAUGCGUAGAUAUGCGGAGGAACACCGAUGGCGAAGGCAAUCCCCUGGGCCUGCACUGACGCUCAUGCACGAAAGCGUGGGGAGCAAACAGGAUUAGAUACCCCUGGUAGUCCACGCCCUAAACGAUGUCAACUGGUUGUUGGGAAGGUUCCUUCUCAGUAACGUAGCUAACGCGUGAAGUUGACCGCCUGGGGAGUACGGCCGCAACGGUUGAAACUUAAAU
rnacentral:rRNA from 1 species